rnacentral:rRNA from 1 species
UGGGGAAUAUUGCACAAUGGGCGCAAGCCUGAUGCAGCGACGCCGCGUGGGGGAUGAAGGCCUUCGGGUUGUAAACUCCUUUCGCUAGGGACGAAGCCUAUGGUGACGGUACCUGGAGAAGAAGCACCGGCUAACUACGUGCCAGCAGCCGCGGUAAUACGUAGGGUGCGAGCGUUGUCCGGAAUUACUGGGCGUAAAGAGCUCGUAGGUGGUUUGUCGCGUCGUCUGUGAAAUCCCGGGGCUUAACUUCGGGCGUGCAGGCGAUACGGGCAUAACUUGAGUGCUGUAGGGGAGACUGGAAUUCCUGGUGUAGCGGUGAAAUGCGCAAAUAUCAGGAGGAACACCAAUGGCGAAGGCAGGUCUCUGGGCAGUAACUGACGCUGAGGAGCGAAAGCAUGGGUAGCGAACAGG